CCUACGGGUGGCAGCAGUGAGGAAUAUUGGUCAAUGGCCGAGAGGCUGAACCAGCCAAGUCGCGUGAAGGAAGACGGCCCUACGGGUUGUAAACCUCUUUUAUAGGGGAGCAAAGCUCGUCACGUGUGACGUAUUGAGAGUACCCGAAGAAAAAGCAUCGGCUAACUCCGUGCCAGCAGCCGCGGUAAUACGGAGGAUGCGAGCGUUAUCCGGAUUUAUUGGGUUGAAAGGGUGCGCAGGCGGAGGUGCAAGUCAGCGGUCAAAGUGCGGGGUUCAACCGCGUACUGCAGUUGAAACUGGAUGCCUUGAGUGCGGGAGAGGUAGGCGGAAUUCGUGGUGUAGCGGUGAAAUGCAUAGAUAUCACGAAGAACUCCGAUUGCGAAGGCAGCAUACUGGCGCGCAACUGACGCUGAUGCACGAAAGCGUGGGUAUCGAACAGGAUUAGAUACCCUGGUAGUC
rnacentral:rRNA from 1 species